CACGUGGAUAAUCUACCCCUUAAAAUCUGGGAUAAUCCUCCGAAAGGAAGUCUAAUACCGGAUAAUAUCGCUGGAUGGCAUCAUCUAGCGAUCAAAGGCGGGGCAACCUGCCGUUUUAGGAUGAGUCCGCGUUCCAUUAGCUUGUUGGUGGGGUAAAGGCCUACCAAGGCUGCGAUGGAUAGCCGGCUUGAGAGAGUGAUCGGCCACACUGGGACUGAGAUACGGCCCAG
rnacentral:rRNA from 1 species